rnacentral:misc_RNA from 1 species
GGAAGUAAAAGUCUAACAAGGUUUCCGUCGGUGAACCAGCGGAAGGAUCAUUACAGAGAUCGUGCCCUUCGGGGUAGACCUCCCACCCUGUGUUAUUUACGUAUGUUGCUUUGGCGGGCCGCCUCCGGGCUCUCAGCUUCGGCCGAGGUGUGCCCGCCAGAGAACCCACAACCCUGUGUUUAGUGUCGUCUGAGUAUUAUCAAAUAAGUUAAAACUUUCAACAACGGAUCUCUUGGUUCUG